UACGGAGGAUCCAAGCGUUAUCCGGAUUUAUUGGGUUUAAAGGGUGCGUAGGCGGAUUGAUAAGUUAGAGGUGAAAUGUCCGAGCUUAACUCGGGAACUGCCUCUAAUACUGUUGAUCUAGAGAGUAGAUGCGGUAGGCGGAAUGUAUGGUGUAGCGGUGAAAUGCUUAGAGAUCAUACAGAACACCGAUUGCGAAGGCAGCUUACCAAUCUAUAUCUGACGUUGAGGCAUGAAAGCGUGGGGAGCAAACAGG
rnacentral:rRNA from 1 species